rnacentral:misc_RNA from 1 species
CAAGAAAUAGGGUUUUAACUAAAGCGAACUAGGGUUUUGCCGAUGAAAGGAAUGAAGCAAACAUAAUCAUUAGAUGCAAAAGAAAGAAAUUCAAAACCCUAGAAAUUUGUUUAACCUAUAGAAAUUAACCAAAAAGGAGAAAAAAAAAAGGAAUUAUCAAAUAUAUAUACAUAUAUACCAGCAGGGACAUGGUUGAGGGCGAUGCCGGUGCUGGAGAGGGCGUGCUGUACAGAUUGUGGAAUUCGAAUGGUGUCGCCGUAGGCGGAGAUGGAGACAGGCCCACAGUAAUUCAUGUUGACAAGAGCAGAGCUUAUGUUCUGGGCAAUUGCGUGGGGAUCGCAGCCCCUAGGCACCUGGCAGUUUUCUAUGUCCCACCACACAGAAGUCUUGGCCGACACGUACUGCGCCUCCGCUACACCCCCUCCCCCUCUCCGCGCCUGUGACUGGGCCGCCUUUGCAGACGACCCAGGAGACGCGGCGGCGGCAGAGGUGACAGUGGAGUUUACGCCUCCCGUCACAUCUCCAACCAUGGCGCACGAUAGCACGGUGAAAAAGGCUCAAGAAAGCAUCUGCGGGUGUAAAUGUUGGUAUUUCUGGGUUAUUGGCUUCUUU